rnacentral:rRNA from 1 species
UGGGGAAUUUUGGACAAUGGGGGAAACCCUGAUCCAGCCAUCCCGCGUGUGCGAUGAAGGCCUUCGGGUUGUAAAGCACUUUUUGCAGGAAAGAAACGUCAUGGGUUAAUACCCCGUGAAACUGACGGUACCUGCAGAAUAAGCACCGGCUAACUACGUGCCAGCAGCCGUGGUAAUACGUAGGGUGCAAGCGUUAAUCGGAAUUACUGGGCGUAAAGCGUGCGCAGGCGGUUCGGAAAGAAAGAUGUGAAAUCCCAGAGCUCAACUUUGGAACUGCAUUUUUAACUACCGGGCUAGAGUGUGUCAGAGGGAGGUGGAAUUCCGCGUGUAGCAGUGAAAUGCGUAGAUAUGCGGAGGAACACCGAUGGCGAAGGCAGCCUCCUGGGAUAACACUGACGCUCAUGCACGAAAGCGUGGGGAGCAAACAGG